GACACUGCAAUCGCUUCGACGACAUUCCGCAAGGUUGUCUAGGAGUGUUGUUGUUGUGCUCGUUGGAUGCAUUUGCGUGCGGAGUGCGCCGAGUGGGUCGAUGUCGCUGCCGGAAGGGCGUAUAGAGGACUCGGGUUUUCGGACUCGAGAAUCCUGUGCGUUCGGAUAGCAGGUGAUGUUGGCUCGCUGUUGUGGAGUGCGGGUGAAUUCGCGAUGGGCGUCGAUUGUGAGUUGUGGUUGCGGAU
rnacentral:rRNA from 1 species